GAGAAUACAUUAAACCGAAUUUUGAAUUUGGGUCUGAUCAAAACUUACGUCAACAUUUAAGAUAUAAAAAUUAUUUUCCUUGUAUUUGCAAAACUUAGUGAUGAUAUUUAGCUUCAACAUUAUAUUUAUGCAAAUAAACUUAUAACAUACUCCUUUUUGCAACAUGCAUAUGUAUUCAUACACAGAUAAGCAAUCAUAGUAGGGGGAAUUUUAUAUACAGAUAUACUUAUAACCUAAAUUUUUUUUUUUUUUUUUGUCAUCUA
rnacentral:lncRNA from 1 species